CAAUGUUUUUGUCAGGAGACAGGAGUAACAACUGCAGAUUAUGAGUUACCUGUGUGUCGUCAGGAGAUCUAUCCCUUGUCAUCCUACUUUCCAACAACUUGUGCAUGUAUGCCUGGUAAGGCACAUUAAACCAUACACUCUCAGACUCUGAGGAUUCUGUCAACUCAGGUGAUGCAUCACUGGGACUCUGAUCACAAUGAAUGGUUUUGACUCCUCUACCAUGUUCAGGUUUUACCUUAUACACUGGUAAGUUGGGCGUUUUGUCAACCACAACAUAUGGCACAAAACUCUGUUCCAUCAGCAGAUGUUUGAAAACAAAGAUCACCAGGGAGUCUUGCUUCCCUCCCAAAUAUUAAGUAGUAGGGAGAGUGUCCUGCAGCCUCAUAUUUUGUGCUCUUAUAGCCAUGGACCAGAUACCUCACAUGUUGAGUCCAUUGGCACAUUUUCUCAUGUCCCAAGGUUCCCAAAAUUUAGAGAACAGUGCAAUUAAACCUCUUGGGCUUAGCAUCACCUUGAGUAUGAUAUGGAGUGGUACAUGAUGAGUAGCAAGAGCUCUAUGAUUAAAUGGCUGUCAGAGGGACAUCUUUGGUCGGAAUGGAUUCUUACGGGCAAGCCAUAGUGCACAAAAUACUUGUCCACUAUGAUCUUGGCUACUUGCACCAUCUGAUUCCUUGAGGAAAACGCCUGGGCAUACCUUGUAAAAUGAUCUGUGACCACCAAGAUGUUACUUAUUCCAUUUCAGUCAGACUCAAGUGAGAGGAAAUCUAUGCAGACUAGAACCAAGAGUCCAUUGCUGGUAAUUUGGUGCAAAGGAGUUGCUUUAUUGCACAAUGUUUCAAGGCCAUGUCCCUUGCUUCAACGCUUCAAUGAUUUUCCUCAUCAAUCGUUUGGGGUUUUGCCAACUCAGCCAUGGAUUUCUUCUCCAAGUUGUCACAGUUCAGUUGAACAAGGAAAGCAUACACAUAAGGGAUGUACUCGGGUGAGGCUCCUAGUUGUUCAACAAUACCUAGGUGAUAUUUGAGCUUUAGAUAAACAUGAACUCACUGGCAUAUGGAAAUUACUUCAGUCUCAGAGAUGCUUUGCCAACCCUCGGUGUUCUCCCCUUCUGUCAGGUUUCUGGACAGCAAAUCUGCAUCAGUAUUGUUCUUGCCUGGAUGGUGUACAGCACAUCAAAGUCGUAGGUGGAUAAGGCAGCCAGCCAAUGAUAUCUCGUGGUACGGAGUUUAGCAGUGGUGAGAAUUGUAUGUAAGUGGAUUAUUAUCAGUACAUACGGUGAAUUUGGCUCCAUAUAAGUAAUCAUGGAAUUUAUGCACGACCACCCAUUUCAAGGCAAGAAAUUCCAACUGAUAGAUGAGAUAACUCUGCUCUGAAUUGUUCCAUUUUCUACUGGCAAUUGCCAUGGGUUGCAGACCGGAAGAAUGUUCCUGAUAAAAUACAGCACCUAGCCCAUUUAUAUUGGCAUCCAUGUGCAAGACGUAGAGUUUGUUGGGGUCUGCAAAAGCUGGGGCUUUAGUAAGACACUGAAUGACCUGCUGGCCAUCUGUGCAUGACUGGUUCCAUCCUUCUCUGAAGGGCUCAGUCUCUUUCAGGUAGGUCUUGGAUUUAUCUUUGUCCAACUUUUUACCUCACUGGGUAGGUGCAUAACCCUUUGUGAGCUCAGUAAGAGGUCGGACAAUUGCAGCAUAGUUGGCUAUGAACCUAUGGUAAUACCCGCAGAAGCCAAGAAAAAUCUCAAGGUCUUAAGGUCCAUAGGCUGUGGCCAGGCACUGACCAUCUUGACCUUGUCAGGGUCUGUUGCAAUGCCUUCGGCAGAUACUGUUACAUACUUCAAUUUGUUCUGGCAGAAUUGGCGCUUGUCCAAUGACACUUUUAGCCCUACUUCCUCUAAUCUGUCCAGGACCUUAGAAGUCAUGCUCAUGCUCUUCCAAUGACUUUCCAAAGACAGUCAGGUCAUCCAGGUAGACAAGGACCUGAUGCAGGUUCAUAUCACCAACAGCUUUUACCAUCAAGCUUCGAUCUUUUUCAAUCCAAUCAUUUCCCCUGUGGCAUAUGCUCAAACUGAUAGAAUCCUAAGGGGCAUAUAGGCAUUCGGACAUAGCUAUUUGGUAAUAGCCACUUUUGAGGUCAAUUACAGAAAACAUUCUACACCCCGACAAACAAUCGAAUACAUUGUCAGUGUGGGGCAUAGUAUACUGGUCUAGCACUGUUCGAGCAUUAAGUGUGCAGUAGUCUUUGAACAUUCUUACGCUUGCAUUUUUCUUUCAGGCUAUUAUAAUAGGGGAAACAUAGGGGCUUCAUGAUUCCUUGAUGGUGGCGACUUUCAUAAGCUCCUGAAUGUGUCUUCGAACAUCAUCAUUAUCUGUGGGUGCCAAAGACCUGGAGCGCUCACGAAAGGGCCUAGAAUCAGAUAGCUGAAUAUAGUGUUCCACUCUUUUCACCAAGCCCACGUCCCACUUGUGUAGUGAGAACACAGAAGCUCUUUCUGACAAUACCUGCUUAAGUCUCUGUUUCCUUGUUUCAGGAAUGGGAGAGUCUCCAAAGUUAAUGAAGUUUGUAUCAAUCUCUCCUGUCUAUGGGGCUAGGGAUACCGGAUGUGUUGGAUGUAAGUGACCCACCCCUGUUCCUGCCGAAAUCACUGUGUCCUUCAGAGGUUUAUUAUGCAUCAGUACCGGGAAAUGGUAGACAUCCAUUUCAGAAUGUGGCACUACCAUGGGCUAUAAUAACACUCCAACCGGAAUCGUGCCAUCUGGAGAAGCCUCUACCAACAGAACCUCUUCUCCCAAUGGUUUGUUUAACUCUACCUUACAGAUCGCCACACAAUCCCCUCCCGGGGACAAGAAGCCAGGAACAAACCACCUUACACUACCCACUCAUUCAUCUUCACUGGGGACCAGCUAAGCCAAACACUUGAAGAGGUUAGCAUUGUUUUUUAAAAUAACCUGUGUUUGGUCUGGACUACAUGUUCCCAGACAGAUCAAGGCUAAGACUGAAAGGGAACUCAAUGUCUACCAUCACAUAACCCAAGUAGGGAUAGCUGGACUCACUUAAGAAAGCUCCAAAUGGCCAAUCUUGUGAUGGGGUUAAUGGGAACGUCUGACAGAUGCUGUUUAUACCAGGCUCCGAAGAUGAUGGUUACUUGCAAGCCACUGUCUACUAAGGCAUCACAUGCCUGUCCAUUGACUUUCAGCUGGACAACAGACAUUGGGCCAACCAACCUUUUGGAAGUUGCCUUUGUUUUUGUAUGUCUACUGCACUCCUCUUGACUGGACUGUCAGUUCUGUCUUUGGCUCAGGUAAAAGCAAGUCUCUACCUUUUGCUUUUUUCGGUGACUGGAUUAAUCUUUGAAUGAGUUUGGCUUGAUUUUUAGAAUUUUUGCAUUUUGCAGCAAAGUGUCCACUUUCUCCACAGCGGUAGCAGUAAUAUUCAUCUGCACCAUUGGACGUAGUUAGCCUUACCUGUUAUUCUCCACAGGAAACGUAUAAAAAGAUCCCGGAAUGACAAGAAACUGAAUGACUUCCCUCCAAGGAAAAAGAGGACACUAAUUUCUUCCUGAGCAAUGGGACUGGAUUUGAAAAGUUUGUCCUCAAGAGUAAGUUUGAAACUCAGAAAUCUGCUGUCUGUUUCAGAAGGGGGAAAUCUGGGGUAUGUUGUGGUAAAAUAAAUAAAUAAAUAAAAGACCUCUUCACUCAACACAGAGCAAAUAUGGAAAAAUACCUUAAAAGUCUCCAGUAAGAAAUGUGUGUCUCACCUCCUUGCUUUAAAUGUCCAUCGAUUGUGGUGAUUUCCUCAGGGCCAAAGGCAUUCUGAGCACUCCCAUUAACUCAGAAGUCUUUCUGGAAUCAUCCUCCUCUGAAACUACCACAAAUCUUUGCGCUGACGACUCGUCAACAAUCUGAGCAAGACAGACAUUGCUCAGAGUUAUUUCGCUGUAUUAGUAAAUGGUGGAUAAACACAACCAGGAUUACUUUGUGAAGAAAUCAUUCUUACUCAUCUCUGUAGUAUAAGUUUCCGUUCUCAUUUUGACAACACACUACAGAAACAAUUUUAACACAGCAUUUUUAAUGCUAUAUUUUUGUAAAACAAAAUGACACCAGAUAAUCACACACUAUUCUCCCUCGUGCUUCCUAGUUAACAUUUGCUCUCCAUUCUUCCCACCCCCUUCACCUUAACCUAGGUCUCUGUUUGGACACCAAACAUGGACAAGUGAACACGAUUGGUUAAACAAUAGCAAUGUCAAAACACAAAAAUAAAAAAAAUAAAAAUACCCCAUUAACUUAAUAACAAACAUAGUAAUUAUUCACCAACAUAUACAUUAUAAUGUGCACAUAAAAUAAAUGUAUACAGAAAAUUAAAUCGAUCACAGCAAUAGCAAACCACAAUCAAGUCCUGUCCUACAUUUUUUAUUCUUCAAGAAGCCUUUUCACUCGGAUAUAUGUCACAAUAGUGAAGAAAGACUACUGCAACUAAUGCAAUAACUCAUUAACAGUCUUCCCUGGUGACGUAUCCAGUUAUUUAGUCUACAUAAACCCUCCUCUUUUUUAAAAAAAUAGGCUGCAAGCUCGCAUUCAUAAAGUCUCAGUCCAACCAGCAACCAAUCGAUAGAUCCAAGUUCCAAUUUCAAUAAUCCGUUGUCACAAUAUGAAAGAAAAAAAGUCACGUCUGUUUCAUUACGACUUUAAUGUUGAAAAUGUGAUUUAAAAAAAAACCCAACAUACUAUUGUUAAUUCAUGUUAUUUCAGAAUACAAUAAUAUUAAUUAAUACAACAGCUAAAAAUCUGUCAGCAUUUGUAGAAAUUAACAUUAAAUUAAUGAAUGCUGUAAAAGUAUUCUCUGUUCAUAUUAUUAAAUUGAACCUAAGUGUAAAACACUUCACAAUAAGUUGGUGCCCCACUAGCCAAUUCUUUUGGCAGAUUUUUAGUCAUUUACAUAUUUGUUUGGGAAUCAGAGGAAGUUAGUGAGUGAA